GCCAGCGUAGCUCAGUUGGUAGAGCGGCUGAUUUGUAAUCAGCGGGUCGGGGG
rnacentral:tRNA from 1 species